CGAGCUUAUGUGUUUGUUGCUUGGAAUAGUCUAAUUCCCUAGUUCUUAAUGCUGCUAUUAUAUUAAAUCUAGAGAGCUUAUUUUAGGUUAUAUAAUUGUUAGAAUCUUGUGAAGAGCUUGUUUCAUUGAGUGACAAUCUAAGGGGAGUUUCGGGUAGCAGAGCUUGUUGUUACCUAGGGCUAUUAGUUUCAUUGAAGGGUAAAUAAUGUUACACUUGAUUAAUCUAUUAUUGUAAAAAG
rnacentral:lncRNA from 1 species